rnacentral:tRNA from 1 species
GGUUCUGUAGCUCAGCGGUUAGAGCGUUCGCCCAUUAAGUGAAUGGUCGUAGGUUCGAAUCCUACCAGUUCCG